rnacentral:lncRNA from 1 species
GUACUCUUUUUGUGCCCAGUGUAGACUAGAUGUGGAUGAUACAAAUAUAAAAUGUGGUUUCUGCCCUCAGAGAACUCACAAGCUACUAGGGGAGAAAGUCUCAGAUAAAAGCACGGGAUGGAAAGGAAGCUCAAAGAAGCCAAGAAGAUACUCAUGGAUGAAAUGCUUUGCACAUAUGGGAUGGAAAAUUGUGCUGUAUUAAGUCAAAAAGCAGCUUCUGAAGAAUGUAUUAUGGCUGCAGCUUCACAGGUGCCUGACCCACUGGCCCCUCUGUAUCACUGCACCAUGUGUGUGACCCUGGUCCUCCACUCCAGCCACCAUGUGGGCAGAUCGUAUUCAGGGAGGCAGAAGCUUCUAGAACUGCUGGAGCCACUGCUCAGGCCAAAGACAGUCCCCUCCUUCUCACCCUUUUAUCCACACACAGGAGCAUUAAAGAACUAAACAGCUCUCAUCUCAACUUCCUCCCAACCUCAUUCUUUUGGCUCAUCCUCCUCUGAGAAGCAGCUGUUUUUCAGCUGAUGUCUAAGCUCACACACUCUGAGUGAAAUAACUGGAUUUCUUUAUAAAGGAAAGCACUCCUUUGCUCUGGUUUGUUUUA